rnacentral:rRNA from 1 species
AUGGCGUCACUCACAAUGCUCACCAACUGGACCAUAUGGAAUGAUAUAAAUUCUAGGGUUUUCCGGAAGAAAUUUAUACCACCCCCAAUCAUCAUGGCUGAUCUCAAGUGUGAGGCCAAGCUUUGGGUUCUCACAGGGGCGAAGCAUUUGAGUAACUAUUUGUCGGGAGAGUAA